rnacentral:rRNA from 1 species
UACGUAGGAUCCGAGCGUUGUCCGGAUUUACUGGGUGUAAAGGGUGCGCAGGCGGACUGGUAAGUCAGAGGUGAAAUCUCGUCGCUCAACGACGAAACUGCCUUUGAUACUAUCAGUCUUGAAUCCGGUAGAGAUCUGUGGAAUUCCGAGUGUAGCAGUGAAAUGUGUAGAUAUUCGGAAGAACACCAGUGGCGAAGGCGGGUCUCUGGGCCGAAAUUGACGC